UACGGAGGGGGCUAGCGUUGUUCGGAAUUACUGGGCGUAAAGCGCGCGUAGGCGGACCUGCAAGUCGGGGGUGAAAGCCCGAGGCUCAACCUCGGAACUGCCUUCGAUACUGCCGUGCUUGAGGACUGGAGAGGAGACUGGAAUUUACGGUGUAGCGGUGAAAUGCGUAGAUAUCGUAAGGAAGACCAGUGGCGAAGGCGGGUCUCUGGACAGUUCCUGACGCUGAGGCACGAAGGCCAGGGGAGCAAACGGG
rnacentral:rRNA from 1 species